CUCACUUUCCCCUGUGUGGGAAACUUCCUUGGAGGCAGCUCUUAUUAAUAACAACUAUCUGUCUCUCCUGGAGGGUUGCUGGGAAGCUGGCCUUCUGCUGUGAGCUUCCUAUUUACAUCCUGGUAUGACUGUGAUACGAACCCAGAAGGAAGAGACCCUUACUGCCGCCAUGUGACUAGAAAAGGGAGUCAAGGCCAAAGAUGCACCCCAAGUGCCCCCGAUCUGCCUUCUAAGGCCUUUAUCCUUAUCUUCUGGGACACAGAGUAGGUGUGGCACGUGGGUGGGGCGUUACGGCAUUCAUUUGUCAGGGAUGAUAACUUGCAGGGGCCAUGUCUAGAUGCUUCUGGAAAGGGGAAAGCGAAUAUACUGGCACCCUGGCCCUUCAGCAGGGCCCGCCUGACUCACUGACCGCACUGGACAGAUGACUCAUUCGCCAGCCUUGACCUCAAUGGGUUUGGCCACCCAUGGAGAGUGAAGUCACACCUCCAGUGCCCUGAAGCAUUCUUCUCAGCCAACUCCAAGGCAGUAAUAUCUUCAUGAUCUGAAGCUCUGUAGGCCAAAGGGCAAAAGGAAGGAAUGUUUCUAACUUGGAGGUAAAAACUACAAAAGUUUCUCAGGCAAAGAGUCUGCGAAUGAAGAAAGUUUAAAAAGCCCUUUGAUAGAGCGAGGCUGGAAGCUGGUGCUGGAGGAGACCCAUGCCAGCUUCUAUCCAAACGUUCCUGCCCUGGAUUGUAAAAAACUGCUGUGGCUUCUCGAGAAUCACCAUCCUCAGGAGAGAGACAAUUGAGCACCUGCUACCCACCAGAGACAGACAUCUGUGUCACCGAAUGCCACCGCCUCCCAGCCGUUACCAGACUGUUCCAUUGACCCUUGGUGGCCACCUGGUGUGAUGACCUCACUCUCCCGAUCAGUGGUUGAUGUGACCCAGGACACAGUCCCUGACGCUAAGUAGGGAUCCAAGUUACUAAGCCUGGUGAGGGACCUGGUCUUCAUCAGCAGGCUCCGAGGCCCAUUUUACAUGACAGCACUGGGUCCCGGCUGAGACAAAGAAGCUGGCUCAUUUAACUGUGUAAGGCAGCUAUGAGAAGCAGAAGGGGGAAAGGGGCAUCUUGGGGCUCAGCAUUCCUGAGGCCAGAUGUGCAAGCCUCCUGAGACCAGCUUGGCCCCAGUUGGGCUACACUCACUGCCUCAGACACUGCUGUCCCCUGUCCCUCCUCCCUCCUUCCUCAGCAUCAAAAAGACUCAGGGGUGCUGGCAGCUGUUCUCCAGCAUCUGGUGGAACAUUCUGCCCUAAAGCUGGGCUUUCCUCCCUCCCCAAGGAGAGCUGGUGACUCAUGUUUCCAUUUUCGAUGCAGAGCCAGGCACUGGAUCUUUCCAUGACCCCAACCAAGGACUGGCGGUGUAGUGCUGGAACAUGAAUUAUGAUGUCAGACCUAUCUGAGUUCAAAUCCCCUCCUUGAUGUCUGUUAGCAAUCUGUGUGAUUUUAAGCAGCCUGUUUACUCUGAUUCCCAUUUGCACAUGAAGACCACAACUGUCAAUCACGGUAUCAUUUUGUUUUAGACAAGGUCUCCACUAUGUAGCCUGAGUAAGCUUCCAGUUCUCUCUGUGUGUAUGGUGUGUGCCUGUACACAGGUAUAUGGGAGAGGGGCAUGUACCAUGAGCACACAUGUGAAGGCCAGAGGACAGCCAAUGUCUCUAUCAAUCUCUGACUUAACCCCUUGAGACACCGUCUGUCAUCAACACUGUCACCAUACUUGGACUAGGUUAGUUGGCUUGUCAACAAGCACCAUCAAUCCUUUGUCACCACGAGUCCCCUCCCCCACUGGGGUUAUACGUGCAUUGUACAAAUGCCUACAAAAGCCCCUGGGGCUUUUAUGUAGGUACUGGGAUCUGAACUCAGGUGCAUACUUGUGCACCCACUUGUCCGUCCAUCUCUCCAGCAGUUUCCAGUGCAAUCCUCCUGCCUCAGCCUCCCUGGCGCUGAGUUCAUAGGCGUGUGCACUGCACCAACCUCUCCUCUAUCGCAACUCUGAGAAUGAGCUGUUUCUUCCAACAGUUUUCUCUUUUGACGACUUCUCAUAAUUCAAGCAAAGAGGAAGUUGAGAGUUUCAUGGCCGCCAUGAACGUUCCCUACCCUGUCACAGAGAGUCAGCUUGGUGGUAUUUUUACCCAUGUGAGCUUUUCAGCAGGUUUAAAGAGGCGGGGCUGAGCUGUGAUGCUCCACAGGUCAAGGGUUAUCAAGUGCAUUUUGACUUAAUAUUUUCUAUUACAUUGUAAAUAGAAUACCCAUGUACCAUUUACUACUGCUACAGUGCUAUUGUGAGCACAACUUGUUCUAAACAUAGGAAACCAAGGCCCAGGCAAGUAAAGUAACUUCUCUGAAGUCACACAGCCAGGAAGUGGCAGAGCUGGGUCAUGGCUGGUCUGUCUGACCUCACAGGCCAACACUAUUCUGAUGCUUAGGACAAUGAGAAAGAUGGAGGAGUGAAGUUGGUCCUGAUGCUGGCCUGGAGUGGAUGCUGUGUUGGAGUUUGCUGCUGUUAUUGCUGCUGUCUUCUCAGUUGUUUCUUGUUAUCAUGCUAGGUCUCCACUUUGCCCAUGAUAAGGAGCCAGUGAGGACACAUGUCCUUCAGGCCAAAGCCACAACAGUUGAGAGAUCUGGGCAGGAGAGUCAAGUGGUUUACCCUAACUGCAUUGCUCUCUACCUGCUGAAUGAAUGCUAUUUUCUGAGGCCUGGGGGUACUGACUUUCCAUCUCUGGGCCUUAAUUACAUGUCUACCAGGAGGAGUGCUCAGACUCAGCCCUAAGGUGGAAACAGGCAGGGAGGGGCUGGGAAGAUCAAGGCCUGGGAAACAUUAUCACCCUGACUGACUGCUCUUUUCAAAAGCAAAGAGCCUGCUCUGGGCCCUAGCCCCAGAAGCCAAUAACUGCUACAGCAGAAGCACACGUGAGACCAAGCCAGACUGGAAGGUUCCAGGGGCACCAUGUAGAGUUAUCGGGAAUUACAAACAGCGUGCAGACAAAGCAAUAUGGACAGGUGCAAGAUACUAAAGCUGGCUGGGGCGGCUCACACCAGGAAUCCUAGCAACCGGGAGGCUGAAGCAGAAGUGUCAUUGAAAACAUGAGGCCAGCCUGGGCUACAGAGUGACUCUGUCAACAAAACAAAACAAAACAAAACAAAACAAAACAAAACAAAGCACUCAGAAAAGCAGAAGUCAGAGCUAAGGCACUAAAGAGAGCUGUGACCACAGCAGUGUCCCCACAUGCAACCCACAGCUGGCUUCCUGUCACUCUGCUCCAGACCUUUUCACCUCACCUAGCUCUGCAGUCCCUCCUGCUCCAACACUUGCCCUUGCCCUGCUCUUGUGGAUGAGCUAGCCUCGCCCAUGUUCAGACCACUGUGCUCUUCCCAGCCUGUUUUCCCAGAGACUCUGACCUUCCUGUCCUCAGGGAGCUCAGAAGCCUGCCUCGCAGAAGAGGGAGAGGGAGAGCAGUGCUCACAUUCGCCAAGGUGUCCCUAUGGGCACACAUUAAAUGUUUAGAGAGCCCUUUGUGUGAAGGCUCUGCCACUUGGGCCCAGAAAGAUGUCAUAAGGGGUCCUGCUCUUCUGGAGCAGUGAGGAAUUUCUGAGUUGAUUCUGAGAAUUCCCUUGCUGGGCUUGGGUCCUCCAGGCCACGCCAGGGACCACUCCACCCAGUGUGCAAUGGAUGUGGCUGUUGCCGAGCACUUCAGAGAGUGGGAGACAAAGCUUCAAGCAACUGUAGAGAAAGGAGAGAAAGGCCCCCAGCCAGGAGUCAGUGUCUGUAGGAUUGAAUCUACUUCCAGAUACAGUGCAGGAGUUGAUGGCAUGGGAGUUACAGUCUAUGGGGUCUCAGCUGAUGCCACAACCCACCUAGUGGCCGUAGGGUCUGCAAAUAGCCACCUUCCAGGUUCUGGUGUUGGAACCUGGGGGCCAGGCUCAACUUCUGAUCCCGACCUCUACUUCUGUGUGACAUUGGCUAGGCUCAGUGUGACAGUCUGUAAAGUGGACAUAAUACUGUCUUCCUAGAGUUCUGGUGUGAACAAACCGAAAUGACUCCAGGGCUGCAUGGCCAUCUGUAUCCUUCAGUCUGUGGUGACAACAGAAUAAACGUUAGGGGGAUGGAGGCGGGUCCCAGGGUGCUGUCGCUGUGGAUGACCCAGAGGGAAGCUGGUGAGGGAAGCUGGCGAUGGGGCUCAGCCUUGAAGGAGAUUGAGUUGCUAUACAAGGAAAUGCAAAAAACGUGAAUCAGUUCAAAAGUAAAAAAAAAAAAGUGAAUGAUUCAGAAGGCAUUCCAGAAUAACAAAUAGAGAUUCCAAGCCAAGUGACUCGGUUCCUCAAAAAGAGGACACAGCUCGGUGAAGCUAGAGCCUUAGUCAGGCGGGGGAGGUGGUUACUGGGAAACUUCACCCUGUUCAGCAUUAUUGAGAAGUUGUGGGUUCCUGGAGCCUUAGUGAUGUUACACAGCCUUGCAGGGUGAAGAUUACCCAAACCCUGGGCCAGAGAGUUGAAAAGGAAGUGUUUAGGGCAGGAUCUAUAUUAGAAGAAACAAACAGAAAAAAAAUGCUCCUUAGAAGACAGAGUGGCCACAAGGGAAAGUGGUCAGAUGUGUUGGAGCAUAUGGGGCAGCCGCGCGGGCCAGCCAACAUCUGCCCCAGGGAGGGAGGACUUGGCACAUCUGGGAAGCAGUGAUGGGUUACUCCCAAGGUCUGGAUCUGAUGCAGUCUUUCUGUCCAUUUUGGAAAAAUUCCUCCCAUUUUUUUCCCCACAUGGUGCAGACAUUCCCGUAGAGCAAGGGAGAGGGAGGCUGUACCCAAACUCUGCCACCUGCUUGCUGUGUGACCACCUGCUUCUCUGUGCCUUUGUCUAUCAUCAACAAAUGGUCACCAUGGUAUCUACUUUGUCAUUAUUGCAGUCGAUGUUAGUCCCAGUGCCUGGUCCCUCUGACGACUUCCUGUUGACCAUUAUUAUAGACUUUAGAAUCAAGUAAUUGAAUGCCCCAUUUGGUGCCCUCCCAGUAGAUAUUACAUCACAACAUCUCCACUUAUGUAUAACACUGUGACAAGCCAGUGUUCUUAGAAAAGACAGAAAAAGCCACAAACACACAAAAUCUCAAAAUACGGGACGAGGGAAGUCCCCCUCUACAAUGACUCUUCUGUAUACCAUGUAUGAAUGUGACCCCUACUACCACCUUACCAAGAUCUGGACUUAGCCAGAUAAGCUAUCUGGGGCUUUUCGGGGAACCAGGACUCUGAGAGGUGCCACCACCCAAGAACAGCUCUGGUUCAUUGUUUCAGGCAAGCUGGGGAGGCCUGGAAACUAGAGGUGGGUUUGAGGGAAGGACAUAUGAAGUUGAGGAAGUAGAUGUGAGGCUGGGGAGUGGCUGCUGCCUCUCUGAGGGACUGAAAUGCAAUCUUUCUGCCCAAGGCAUCAAGUCAUAGCUCAGUCUGGCCCUCUUGUUAUCUUUGACAGGCAAUUCCUCGAUUAUCCAUGAAUUUUCUCCUCUUUCCCCAGCUGUGAACAGACUUCCAGAAAGAAGGCAAGUUCAAGGUCAGAGAAAGGGGAGAUUUGAGCUUCAAACAGAGGCUGGUGUGGCCCCAGCUUUGAGUUCACUUCCUGUUUUGUGGGGACUGAGUGGGUCCCUCUUCUAGCGCUGAACGUUCUGUUCCCUUUCUCAACACAGAGCGUACAGGUCCAGCCUCCUGACCAGUGCUCAUCUAGUGCGAAAGUGGACCCAGCUGUACCCCAAGAUGUCAGUUCACCCUAAGCUGCCUUGGGGAUUCCACCAAGUGUUUAGAGAAGUAGAGACUGCCCUGAGUCACAGGCCCUAGAGAAUUUGACUCUUUCUAGGCAAGAAGAGCCUUUGGACACGUUAUAGUGUAGGUGGGUCUCGAUCCCUUCCGUCUCAGAAGCUUCUUCUCCUGUCCAUCGUGCGGUGUGUGAGAUCUGUCAUGCUCCCUCUGGCCGAGGAAGAAGCAGCCAUCUGAGGGCAGGUCUCCACCCUCCAUUCUGUGGCCACAGCUAAGAGUCUGAACAUUUGACCUCAAAUCAGUGGGCUAGGCUACUGUCCCCCCACCCCCAGGCCUUCCUCGGGCUCAGAGAAGAGGAACAAGAACACUUUUACAGAAUUGCCAGGAUCUGGAUCAGAGCCUCGAUCCAGCCCUCAGACUGGCAUUAUUUGAAUAGAACAGAGCCUUUCAGAGGUAGGGCAUUCUGAGAGGUCCUCUGCUGUCCGUGGGAGGGGGCUGUGCUCCUGAAGGUGAUGCUGGGGCCUCAGCCAUUUUCUUUCCUCCUUUGGUUUCCUACUACUGUGAGGUGGACAGCUGUGCCCCCAUCAUGCACCUCUGCCAUGAUAUGCUGUGUCACUAUCAUGUGUGGACUAGGAUCUCAGCAAGCCUUUCCUUGUUAGCAAGGUCUUAUACACUCCACAUAUGCUGUCACCCUCAUGGGCUUCCAGGCCACACUCUGAACAAUUGAAACAGAGACGAGAGACUGUAAGUCUAAUCCCUUGGGCAGAUGGGGGAUUCACACAACAAAGAUGCUGCCAGAAUUAUUUCUUGCGUACAUUGGUGUUGCUCCUUUUUGAACAGUUGUUACCCAGGUUCCUCUUGCCCACCUGGCAGGAUUACAACUUUUCUUAUAAGUGGACAGGGGAUUUAAUGACAGACCAGGACUUACUGGUGAUUGGAACCUGGUAAUGUCCCCUUGACCUGCCCCUUAGAGACAUAUUCUUUGAUAUAGGGAUGGGGCUAAUGACUGACUAUCUAAGUCUUCAUUGUCCCUUUUGUCAUGGGAACUGAGACCAACUGGAGGUCCAUCUCGGUGAAGAACACAUCAGCACAGACUCUCAGCAACCCUACAUUACGUUACACAAGUUUCUUUCUGACAGAUUCCAACAAGCCUGGUGAGUGCACACUGCUGCCUUCCAGUCAUGUUGGAGGCAGCGCUCUUUUAGCUAAAUUCUGGUUGGGUAACAUUAUUUCUUAAGCAAAUUAGUAAAUCCUUUAGAGCGUCAAUUUUACUACUUCAGGUUUCUCCUGUGCCAGUACAAAGGCUUUAAGAUACACUGUUUCCAGCACUUACUUCCUGGUUGUACUCACUUCCUCAAUCCGAGCUAAAAAGCUACGUCAUCCCGUCAUCCACUCAGCUUAUGUCACCACUUGCCCCACCCUGCCCCUCCCGUCCACAUCACCAACUCCUAAUCCGAGCAGUUCAGCUUUAGGUGAAAAGAGCCACACUUUCUCUCCCUCAGGCUGCUUCUUUGACCUUUGCCCUUUCCCUGUCCUAUUUCAUACCCUCUGGUUCACUUCCACGAACUGGAAUCAGUGGGUCUGUGCUCCCCCUACACCCCCCGCACCACCCCUGGGGCCAUUUGAAUGUUAAGCUAAGUCAGGUUUUAUACUUUGGUGACAGAAGCAAGGAGGUGAGAUUAUCCAGUGAUUCCCGGGAGCCAGAGGCUUGAAUUCAGAUCCAGCUCUGUACUUCCUGGCUGAGGUAUUGCUGAUACGAGUCAUUUUACUUCCCCGAGCCUCGGGGUCCUUACCGUCAAAAGCGUGGUUCUCGCUCAGCAAUUCUGUGCUGUAAAUUGCUGACGUGUAUAACCCACGGAGUGGGAGCCAAGGCCUGAUAUAGUAAUUAGCCAAGCCAGUUCAUGCGGAACCUAGAGAAGCAAAGCCUCGACUUUAGGCUUCACCCUUCAGGCACCGGGAAGUCAAAGAAGGCUUUUUACCUCAGCAUCAUCAGAUGGUAGAAUUGAGGUGGAAGAGUUGCUCAAGAGACAAGCUGGGCUGGCCGCAGCAGCCAUCUUCCAGUAACUCACCAAAAUGACGAACACAAAGGGAAAGAGGAGAGACACUCAGUGUAUGUUCUCUAGGCCUUUUAGGAAACAUGGAGUUGUUCCUUUGGUCACAUACAUGCGACUCUACAAGAAGGGUGAUAUUGUAGACAUCAAGGGAAUGGACACCAUUCAAAAAGGAAUGCCCCAUGAGUGUUACCAUGGCAAAACCGGAAGAGUCUACAAUGUCACCCAGCAUGCAGUGGGCAUCAUGGUGAACAAGCAUGUCAAGGAAGGGCAAGAUGCUGGCCAAGAGGACCAAUGUGGGGACUGAGCACAUCAAGCACUCGAAGAGCAGAGACAGCUUCCUGAAGUGGGUAAAGGAGAAUGGUCAGAAGAAAAAGGAAGCCAAAGAGAAGGGUACCUGGGUUCUGCUGAAGCGCCAGCCUGCGCUGCCCAGAGGAGCCCCCUUUGUGAGGACUAACGGAAAGGAGCCAGAGCUGCUGAGGCCCAUGCCAUACGGAUUCACGGCUAAUGGACAAAAAGAAAUAAAGGACCCGACUGAAAAAGGAAGAGACAGAGACAGAGAGAGAGAG
rnacentral:sRNA from 1 species